UCAAAGGANNNNNCGGGGACCCGCACAAGCGGUGGAGCAUGUGGUUUAAUUCGAAGCAACGCGAAGANCCUUACCAAAUCUUGACAUACUCUUGAAUAGUCUUGUAAUGAGACUAGUCCUUCGGGACAAGGGAUACAGGUGGUGCAUGGUNGUCGUCAGCUCGUGUCGUGAGAUGUUGGGUUAAGUCCCGCAACGAGCGCAACCCUUGUCGUCAGUAGCCAGCAGUAAAAUGGGCACUCUGACGAGACAGCCGGAGAUAAUCCGGAGGAAGGUGGGGAUGACGUCAAAUCAUCAUGCCCCUUAUGAUUUGGGCUACACACGUGCUACAAUGGCGUNAACAAAGUGAAGCAAAACCGCGAGGUUAAGCAAAUCACAGAAAUAACGUCUCAGUUCGGAUUGUAGUCUGCAACUCGACUAUAUGAAGCUGGAAUCGCUAGUAAUCGCAGAUCAGAAUGNUGCGG
rnacentral:rRNA from 1 species